rnacentral:snoRNA from 1 species
UGCUUCUAGCAUGUACUUCUAAUGUGCAGUUCCGGAGAAAAGAAAAAUAAGAGUCAAGGCUACAGAAAUCCAAUAUCUGUCAUCUUGGUGUUUUUGGCUUUGUGCAUGUUUAAACUUGGUAUUUCUAUUGAUACAGUA